UAUUCAUUGUGGACACUGGACACAGAUAGAGAAGCCCGCCGAGUUGAAUCGGAUCCUCGUGCAGUGGCUGGAAACUGAUGCCAGGGACCCGCCAGUGGUCUCGAAGCUUUAGGGGGUGACGUGUGCCAGCCCCCUCCUCUGCUGGGCUGCUGCUCUUGGCACCAAGAUGGGCCUGACCCACGUCUCUCAGAACCAGCAGCCUGGUUCUGAAGGGUGAUUUUCUUUAAGGGAAGUGAGUAAAAUUAGGCGUAAUUUUAGAUACAGGAAAAGGCUAUUAAUUCUCUGGGCACAAAUGCAUCACUUGAUCUCUAAGGAUGAUUUGUGUUCUGUGAGGGGACAAAGGUGGUGGCCAGGGGGUGAUUUCUCUUUGACUAAUCCAUAGUUUUGCAGCAAAAUCAGCAGGUAAUUCUGAAGCCUUUCCACAGAGAUUGGAACUCUUUUGCUCAAUAAAGCUAAAC